UUAGCAAUGUGCUAGCUUUUUCAGCUAAUUUGACAUCUACUGAGGUUUUCUGGGCUUAUUCUGAGUUAGCUUUUUUACCUAAGGUGGCAUUUACUGAUGUUUUUUGGAAUUAUUUAGAGUUAAGCUAACAAUUUGGCAGCGUGUUACUUUAUUUCUUUGGCUAACUUGAAAUCUUCUCAAUUUUUUCGGGUUAAUUCUGAGUUAAGCUAUCAUUUUAGUAACAUGUUAGCUUAUUUGGCUAAUUUGACAUCUACUAAGGUUUUUGGGCGGCUAAUUCUGAUUUAGGCUAACAAAUAAAUGCCUUUAGCAUCUUCAGCAAACAGCUCCAGGACCUCUAGCAAUCAUAUUCAGCAAAAAGCAUUCACACUAGCCUUAUCCCAGGUAGUGCAACUUUUCUAGUUCUGUCUGAAUUAUUCAUGGUUAGUUCAUGGAGUGACGUGCUAGCUUUUUUUUUUUGGCUAAUUCUGAGUUAAGCUAACAUUUUAGUAAUGUGUUAGCUUUUUUGGCUAAGGUGGGAUCAGCUAAUGUUUUUUCGUGAAAUUAUUCAAACUCUUUGUGCACUUUCUGCAACUUAUGCAAGAUUUGUAAUAAAACAUGCAACACAUUCAUGACUUUUCUACUUCUGUCUGAGUUAUGCCUGUUUAGCUCAUGGAGUUAUGACCACAGCUGAGUUCUCUCCAGGAGGUCUUUUUGUCCACACGUUGUCCUUGCUUUUUCUUCUUGUGGUCGUCUUGCACGAAUGCUCCAAUAAUGGCCCGACGACUUUUUGUUCCAACAAGUUACGCAGAGCGGCUUUCUGUGGCAGCCAGAGAAAAUACUCUUCGCCCUAUUAUCUGGGCCCCACUCACCGCAAGUCUUAAAUCCAGACAAGUGGCAAACAUUGAUAUAGUGCUGCAGAGUGGUGAAAAGCCGAUGCACCGCAGGUACUUUUUUUUUUGCUUUACAGCGUAUUAGCAGUCAGAGGUGAACUGUUGGAUCACAUUUUCUUUUUCUUUUUUUGUGUUAGCAAAGGUGUUAUAUUUGCCAGAAUCUAAUAGCUU